ensembl:lncRNA
AUGGAGGAGAUGGACCUUCCAGAGGUUGCGAGCAUCAAGCUCGUCCCCUCCAGGUCGAUUCGGCAGAAGCUCGAAGACGAAGCCCUCAGAGCUCCUCAAACAUCCGCACAGCCAGACUCACCUGCAGGUCUCCAGAGGACCCCCGAGGCCUCUGAACCGGGUCACAUGACCCCGCCAAACCCGACAGUGACUCUGGGAAGCAUCACAUCGUCUGGGACGGAGUCGGACCCAACGGUCAGCUGUGAUGAGGAGGAGGAGGAGGAGGAGGAAGAGUUGUCUGUAACCCCCAGCAGCAGUCUUCCCUCCCCAGAGCUCCUGAGAGCAGGCAGCUGUGAAGCGAUGAGGUCCUUUAAGGAGGAGCUGCUGGGUCUCCAUCUUCACGUAAAAAACUCCACCCUGCUGGAUGUGAGCCAUGCUGAGAGCAUCCGCAUGCAUCACUCCCCCAACCUCUCCCACAUCCUCGGAACCUCUACGAUUCAAGCUGAAAAGAACGGUGAGAUCAAAGUGGAAAACCCCUCCAAAAGCAGGAGAGUCACCCGUCUGUCCAUCCCGUGAAGACGCCAUGGACGACAUUGGAGACAGAAUUCUGCUCCCUGGGCCCACCAGCAGAAGGCCCAUCAUGUACAAGAAGAAGGUCUCAUUCAAGGUCCCCGUGACGGCUGAGGCCCCCGAGCCAAAACUGAGCGCCCGAGAAGACGCAGAGCGACCGGCGUCCGACGCCACGUUCUUUGACUUCAAGGACGCCGCCGACAGGAACGCCUUCUUUGAGGGGCUGAGGACGAGGUGUGAGGAGCUAAGACGUGCUCCGCUGUUUCCCCUCACGGCCCUCGAAUGGACGGAGGCCCCCAGUAUGUGACACCUGAGGCCAGAAGUCUUGUGUGUAAGGAGUAGGGUUUAUUUCUUUCUUUCC